rnacentral:rRNA from 1 species
UACGAAGGGGGCGAGCGUUGUUCGGAAUCACUGGGCGUAAAGGGCGCGUAGGCGGCCCUUCUUGUCGCGUGUGAAAUCCCCGGGCUUAACCUGGGAAUUGCGCUUGAAACUAGGUCGCUAGAGUGUGGCAGAGGGGGGUGGAAUUCCACGUGUAGCAGUGAAAUGCGUAGAGAGUGUGGAGGAACACCGAUGGCGAAGGCAGCCCCCUGGGUCAACACUGACGCUCAUGCACGAAAGCGUGGGGAGCAAACGAGGAUAGAAACCCCGAGUAAGAUCCGAUACC